rnacentral:rRNA from 1 species
AGGCAGCAGUGAGGAAUAUUGGUCAAUGGGCGCAAGCCUGAACCAGCCAUGCCGCGUGCAGGACGACGGUCCUAUGGAUUGUAAACUGCUUUUAUACAGGAAGAAACACUCGGACGUGUCCGAGCUUGACGGUACUGUAGGAAUAAGGAUCGGCUAACUCCGUGCCAGCAGCCGCGGUAAUACGGAGGAUCCAAGCGUUAUCCGGAAUCAUUGGGUUUAAAGGGUCCGUAGGCGGUUUAAUAAGUCAGUGGUGAAAUCCUACCGCUUAACGAUAGAACGGCCAUUGAUACUGUUAGACUUGAACUAGUGGGAAGUAACUAGAAUAUGUAGUGUAGCGGUGAAAUGCUUAGAUAUUACAUGGAAUACCAAUUGCGAAGGCAGGUUACUAUCACUAUAUUGACGCUGAUGGACGAAAGCGUGGGGAGCGAACAGGAUUAGAUACCCUGGUAGUCCACGCCGUAAACGAUGGAUACUAGCUGUUCGGAGCAAUCUGAGUGGCUAAGCGAAAGUGAUAAGUAUCCCACCUGGGGAGUACGUUCGCAAGAAUGAAACUCAAAG